rnacentral:rRNA from 1 species
UACGGGGGGGGCAAGCGUUGUUCGGAAUUACUGGGCGUAAAGGGCUCGUAGGCGGCCAACUAAGUCAGACGUGAAAUCCCCCGGCUUAACCAGGGAACUGCGUCUGAUACUGGAUGGCUUGAGUUUGGGAGAGGGAUGCGGAAUUCCAGGUGUAGCGGUGAAAUGCGUAGAUAUCUGGAGGAAUACCGGUGGCGAAGGCGGCAUCCUGGACCGGCAUUGACGCUGAGGAGCGAAAGCUAGGGGAGCAAACGGG